rnacentral:lncRNA from 1 species
CAGGCCUCCCCUCUCUGCCCACCCCCCAGUGCCCCGGCACCACAGCCCCUCCCUGGGUCAACCGCGGUCCCCGAUGGGGUCCCCGCCCUCUGCAGACCCCACCUGCCCCGGCCUGCUUUCCUCGGUGGCUCCCGGGUACCCAAUGAGCUUUUAAAGCCCCCUGCCCAGGACUUGGGCUGCUGGACACGUCCCCGGCCCCAGAGCCCCUCUUGGCCGCUUUCUUCACCUUGCCCUCGGAGGGCGGGGGUCCUGGCUCUGACGCGGGGGUCUCCCUCUCGCGUCUGUACUGCUCUAGGAGCUGGGCGAAGUCCUCCUCCUGGGGCUGCAUCCCCUUGGCGGCGGCGGCCCCAGCCCCCUUCCUCUUCUUGCCCUCCGGCUGCGGGCCCCCCCCUCGGUCGCUCCGGUUCCAGGGCCGGGCUUCACCCCGUUCUGGACUGCGGGGGGCCGGCCCCGGGCUCGCCGCCUCGGGAUCUGGCCCAGGGGCCUGGCCACUGUCUUGGCUGGAAGCGGACCCGGGGGAGGGCGAAGCGGGGGCUUUGGGGGCCAUGCUGGAAAGCAUGGGGUUGGGUGGCUUGCAAAACAGGUCCCCAAAGUCCCAGCGGGGGGAGCCCCCGGAAGGCAGGCGGUCGGCGGCCCUGGGGCCAUCGGGGCUGGCGGGCUUGCGGGCCGGGUCCUCCAAGGAGUCGUGUUUCGGGGGGGUGGGGUCCCGGGGGGCGUGGAGGCCGGGUCCAAGGGGCGCCGAUCCUGAGUCAAGCUGGGGCCCAGCAUGGGAUUCGGGGGCUUGGAGAAGAGCUCUUCAAAGGGCACCAGGCCGGCGGGGCACAGCGUGGAAGACAUGCUGCAGGCGGCUCCUGGGAGCGGCCCCCGGGGGGCCCUGGGAUGCUGCAGGCAGAGGCGGCCCUGAGAACGGGCAAGAGGCUGGGAGGGGGGCUCCGGGAGCUCCCUCCACUGACCCCCCCCACACACGCCGGGGAGGGCAGGGACCGUCACCGGCACAGGGUCUGGGCCCACAAGAGGGCGCCCACGGGGUUGGGGCAAGGGGCAUUUGUGCGUUUGGGGUUUAGGGCCUCCUGCCCCGCCCCCCAACAUCCAAGGCCCGGGACCAUUCCCGAAAGCCCCCCUGAGCCGCCUCAUCCCCGCCCCCAACCGCAGGCCCCGCACCUGUCUGCUGGCCCCGCCCCGAGGCCCUUCUCCCAAACUCCGCCUCGUGAGCCCCCCGGGAGGGUGGUCCGCGCCAUGGAGGGGCAGCUCCCGGGCUCCAGAAGGAAGGGCAGAAGUGCGGGCCUGCGGACAGAGGGAGAGCGGCCCGUGGCGCGCGAGCCCGGGCUCCCACCCGGCCCCGCUCCUUGCGCGCCGCGGGC